rnacentral:rRNA from 1 species
GAUGAACGCUGGCGGCGUGCUUAACACAUGCAAGUCGAACGGGAUCCCAGGAGCUUGCUCCUGGGUGAGAGUGGCGAACGGGUGAGUAAUGCGUGACCGACCUGCCCCAUACACCGGAAUAGCUCCUGGAAACGGGUGGUAAUGCCGGAUGCUCCAGUUGACCGCAUGGUCCUCUGGGAAAGCUUUUGCGGUAUGGGAUGGGGUCGCGUCCUAUCAGCUUGAUGGCGGGGUAACGGCCCACCAUGGCUUCGACGGGUAGCCGGCCUGAGAGGGCGACCGGCCACAUUGGGACUGAGAUACGGCCCAGACUCCUACGGGAGGCAGCAGUGGGGAAUAUUGCACAAUGGGCGCAAGCCUGAUGCAGCGACGCCGCGUGCGGGAUGACGGCCUUCGGGUUGUAAACCGCUUUUGACUGGGAGCAAGCCCUUCGGGGUGAGUGUACCUUUCGAAUAAGCACCGGCU